rnacentral:piRNA from 1 species
GGAAGCAAAGCAUGGCCAGACGAAUU